AUGGAGGAGUGGCUCCUAAGCUUGUGUUUCAUAGCCCUCUCCACGGCCACGGUGCUGGCCUUUUGGUUUCUCAAGCUCUCUGGUGGCAAGGCCGACCCCCACAAGAAGCAGCUGCCUCCUGGGCCAUGGACGCUCCCGGUCAUCGGCAGCCUCCACCACGUCAUCAGCGCCCUCCCGCAUCGCACGAUGAUGCAGCUGUCUUGCCGGCACGGGCCGCUGAUGCUCCUCAGGCUAGGUGAAGUCCCCGCCGUGGUGGUGUCCACCGCCGACGCCGCGGCGCUGGUGAUGAAGACCCACGACCUCGUGUUCGUGGACCGGCCGCGCAGCCCGACCAUGGACAUCGCCAGCUCCGGCGGCAAGGACAUCGUGUUCGCCCCGUAUGGCGGCCACUGGCGUCAGAUGCGCAAGAUCUGCGUCGUGCAGCUCCUCAGCUCCACGCAGGUGAGUCGCAUGGAGGGCGUCAGGGCCGAGGAGGUGGGCAGCCUCCUCCGCGACAUCACGGCCGCCGCCUCCACCGGCGCCACCAUCAACGUCAGCGAGAAGGUGAUGGCACUCACCAACGACAUCGUGACAAGGGCGGUUUUCGGCGGCAAGUUCGCACGGCAGUGCGAGUUCCUCCGGGAGAUGGACAAGGCGUUUAAGCUCGUGGGCGGCUUUUGUCUGGCCGACCUCUUCCCGUCAUCGAGGUUGGUACGGUGGCUGAGCAAUGGCGAGCGCGACAUGAAGAGAUGCCAUGGCCUCAUCCAUCACAUCAUUGCCGAGGUCGUCGAAAAUCGCAAGGCCGCGCGAGCUUCUGGCGUGGGUCGUUCCAUCCCAGGCGAUGAGGACAUGUUGGACGUGUUGCUCACGCUCCAGGAGGACGACUCUUUGGAAUUUCCUCUCACCACGGAGACAAUGGGGGCCGUCUUGCAUGACGUAUUUGCAGGGGCUACGGAGACCACAGGGAACACUUUGGCAUGGGUCAUAUCAGAGCUUAUGCACAACCCUCACACUAUGGCUAAAGCACAGCAUGAAGUACGCGAUGUGUUGGGUGAAGGUCGAUCUGUCAUCACUAAUAGUGACCUUGGUGAACUCCACUAUAUGCCGAUGAUCCUCAAGGAGGCCCUUAGGUUGCAUCCGCCGGGUCCUCUGAUUCCCCGCAUGGCUAGAGAGGAUUGUACAGUUAUGGGUUAUGAUAUCCCUAAAGGUACUAAUGUUUAUAUUAAUAUUUUCGCAAUUUCUAGGGAUCCUAGAUAUUGGAUCAAUCCUGAAGAGUUCAUGCCAGAGAGAUUUGAAAAUAACAAUGUGAACUACAAAGGGACAUACUUUGAGUUCAUUCCCUUCGGAGCUGGGAGACGGCAAUGCCCGGGGAUUCAGUUUAGCUCAUCAAUCACUGAGAUGGCACUAGCAAACCUUUUGUAUCACUUCGAUUGGAUGCUCCCUGAUGGUGCUAACCUUGCUUCGUUUGACAUGUCCGAGAAAUUUGGGUUUGCGGUAAGCAAAAAGUAUGACCUGAAAUUGAGAGCUAUUCCACAUGUGUGGUCCAAUGCUAUGACGUUGAAGUGA
rnacentral:rRNA from 1 species